ensembl:lncRNA
CCACAGUCCAAAGGCCAUAGUUUGUUUAGAGAGUGGGAUGGCGGUCUGCCAGAUUAGGUCACAACACACUGGCUACCAGACUACUUACUUGACUUAUCUAACCAUUUAAACCAGGAAGUCCCAUUCAGAUAAACAUCUGGCAUUGAAGGCACUUGUAGUUGAAACCCUAUUCCCUAUGUAAAUGCCCUAUGUUUGCCCCAUGGCCCAGCUUUUAAUCUGUGAAUUCACCUGGUUCCCACUGCCACCUUUAACCUCUCCCCUUUACUCUCCAGGCGUGAGCUGCUGGCAGAGCUGGCGGGGGACGAGUUUGUUGCCGUGGAAAUGGCCUGUCUGGAGGAUGAGUUCCGUGUCCUGUCGGAGGAGAACGCCACGCUGCUCAACGUCCACACUGAGCGAGCUCAGCAACUGGAGACGCUCAGCUCCACCAAUCGGAAUCGGACAGGCCAGGACAGCUCCUCCACGUGACCCCCUUGAACUCGACUUGACCCCGAGCGACGAUGACCUCGCUCGAGACCUUCAAACCGACGCUACGGCCCGUAUUCCAAAAGUGCUGAUCUAGGAUCAGUUCCCCUCUGUUCAUGUAUUCAUAUUUAUUAAGAUCUAAAAAUGCCAAACUGAUCCUAAAUCAGCACUCUUGCUCUGAGCCUCAACUUGGAUAUGGGUCCCUGAAAACAUUACUACCGAUAGCUGUCAAAUCCUUGCUUCCUCUGUCCUUGUUUCCUUAUCUCCUUUCUAAGAGCGUUUUGUUUACUUAUCUCCUUUUAAGAGCAAAGGAGAAGAGGAUACAAGGUCCCUCGUUUGGGACCUUCUCUUCCAAUGCACUUUGAGAGGAACUUACGGACCAGGGUUUGGGGCCAAUUCUAUUUCAAUUCCAAUGAUGGGUUUCUGAUUUCUAAACUUUAAAAAAUAUAUUGUUAAUCAUCAGUUAUACUAGAGACACGAGGAGUGUCACAGUCUGGUUUCUACACCAGAAGUUAAUGGGUAUCUGUAAGAGUAAUGUAUAAGGUUGGAGUCAAGAAAGGUUACAUAGGAGCCAGGGGGCUUUGGGAGGUGCUGAGUAGAGGAGAGGCAAUCGCAUGAUUAUGGCGGAGAGCUGUGGAUUAGUAAAGAAUGUAGAGGUCAGGUCAGGUCACAUUAAGGGAGAAGGAACUGUGCGUUGCCCGCAUGACUUUACUUCCUGUCUAGUAUAAAGAUGUUUAGAGAGAAGCAGGAGACUUUGUCUUAUGCAGCUGCAUUGACCCAAUGGGUGAAUAAACUUGGUUUAAGUUUGACUAAUCGUCCGUGAGUUUUACUAUCUAACUGGAGUCGAUUCAGGAAGUACACUGAAAUCCUAACUCGAAUUCCUCUUCAUUGCGUUUCAAUGAGCGCAAUUUGGAAUUUUCAAUGAGCGGAACUUUCUCAAUUGACCGGAACUCAAAUGGAAUGAAUCCCAACCCUGCUAAGGAAACAAGGACAGAGGAAGCAAGGACUUAGUAGUAGUAGUAGUAGUAGUAAUAAUAGUAGUAGUAGUAGUAGUAGUAGUAGUAGUAGCAGUAGUAGUAGUAGUAGUAGCAGUAGUAGUAAUAAUAGUAGUAGUAGUAGUAGUAGUAGUAGCAGUAGUAGUAGUAGUAGUAGUAGUAGUAGCAGUACAGUAGUAGUAGUAGUAGUAGUAGUAGUAGUAGCAGCAGUAGUAGUAGUAGUAGUAGCAGUAGUAGUAGUAGCAGUAGUAGUAGUUGCAGUAGUAGUAGUAGUAGUAGCAGUAGUAGUAGUAGCAGUAGUAGUAGUAGCAGUAGUAGUUGUAGUAGUAGCAGUAGUAGUAGUAGCAGUAGUAGUAGUAGCAGUAGUAGUACUAGCAGUAGUAGUACUAGCUAGCAGUAGUAGUAGUAGUAGGCUCUGUGAGUCUCUGGACUUGUGGAGACAUACAGGUGGUGUGAUGUGGUCCAAAAUGUUUUCAGGGGGCUUCCCGCUCUCCCCCCCUUUCCUCUCCCCUCCAUGGAUCUAAAGGAUCCCAUCAGUUCCCCAGGUUCAUACUAUACCACCCAGGAUCAACUUUGAGUUGAUGAUUCUGUAUGAGGUAGAAAUGCAAUACACUGUAAGACAUAUGGAUGUUGAGGUGCGAACUCAAUAGAUAUUCUGUAGUGAAAUAAUGGUAG